rnacentral:lncRNA from 1 species
UUGAACAAAUAUAUGAAUAAAGAUUUAAAACAAUUAAUAUAACCUCAGAUAGUUGACCAGAUAACUGGAUGAGGGAUCUGCGUAAAGUAGUCAACCUCUGUAUUUGACCAGAUAACUGGAAGAGAGAUCCUUUUCAAUUAAGUGUUGUUUAGUUGUUUUUAGAUGAAAGAUAAAAACUAAAGUUAACAAAGAACAACACAAGAGAUUAAUACUGGUUCACCCAAACAAGGGCUAAUCCAGUCCCGACCAACUGUCGGAAUUCACUCGCCUAAAGGUUAUGGCAAAACCUUAGAGUAUCAAGGAAACUCUUAAGAACCUCUCUAAGCUUUAAGGCUACUUCGCUUAGGAACCAGUCUUUUACGGGUAGACUCACACCUUAGAGUAUCAAGGGCACUCUUAAGAACCUCUGCUUUUGCGGGUAAGUUUGUACCUUAGAGUAUCAAGGAACUCUUAAAAACCUCUCUAAACUUUAAGGCUACUUCGCUUAGGAACCAGUCUUUCACGUGUAGACUCACACCUUAGAGUAUCGAGGGCACUCUUAAGAACCUCUAACUUUUACGGGUAAGUUAGUACCUUAGAGUAUCAAGGAACUCUUAAAAACCUAGAAAUCUUUCAAGGUAGAUUCGACCUGAGAGUUUUCCCGGAAACUCUAUAAAACCAAACUAGAGCUUUGUGGUUGAGCUCGAAAACCUUCUCUCACACUUUGGUACUAUUGAGACAACCCUCUCAACCAAAGUGGACACACACAAGAGGUGAUUAGAGGAGUGGAAUAUUAAAGCAAACAACACUUCUUACUUGUAAAGAUGAACAAGAAGAUUAGAAGAAGAAGUUGGAGAGCUUUUGAAGCUUUGGAAAGCUAGGACACUUGAGCACUUGAAAGCUUGGAAGCUUGGAGGCAAAAACGUGUGGGCAAGUGUGGAGUGAAAGCUCUUGAGUUUGCUUG